UGGACGUGGAGGUGUGGCACUCGCACGCGCCUGCUCUACCCUGCACCUUCUCCGAAUCCGUUCGCCGAAGUGCUCGAGAAGGCGCUUGAGGUCGGCAUGCUCGCCGGCGACGCCGGGCCCCUCCCUCCUCCUGAUGCCCUCUCCGUCGCCGCCUUGAGCCUCUCCACCCUCUCCCGUGCGGUCGUCCGGGUCCAGAUUGCUGCACCUUCUGGUUGUGAGUGGAUCCAAGAGUCAGCAUGAUACAGUAUCUUUUCAAAAGAUGAUAGAUUAUCUUCAUGAAAGAAAGGAAGUUGGAGAAUUAUCAUUGAAGAGGAAUUCAGUGUCAUGUGUUUCUCAAGAGCUAAAAUGGAACAAGAAGUGCAAAACUGGCAAUUCUUUUUGUAAUACUAUUAAGCUCGUCAUGGUGGUCACCAUGAAUGAGUGUCUGGUUUAAUCUCUAGGAAAUUUCCCGAGGGAGGAAAAGGAGGUGCUGAAAGGGGAUGGGAGCAAGAAGUAUAAAUCGAAGAGUAUGUUUUGAUUCUGAGUUGCAUUGCACAGUAUUUUCAUUGUUCUAAGAAAUUCAUGGAAUUGUAUGGAACAUUCCUUCAUGUGAUAGGCAUAUUUGUUUACUAAAUCAAACUGCAUAGUUCCAACAAACAGACA